rnacentral:rRNA from 1 species
UACGGAGGGUGCAAGCGUUAAUCGGAAUCACUGGGCGUAAAGCGUGCGUAGGCGGCCUGUCAAGUCAGCUGUGAAAUCCCUUGGCUUAACUGAGGGCUUGCAGUUGAAACUUAAAGGCUUGAGUGCAGGAGAGGAAGGUGGAAUUCCCAGUGUAGCGGUGAAAUGCGUAGAGAUCGGGAGGAAUACCAGUGGCGAAGGCGGCCACCUGGACAGUAACUGACGCUGAGGUACGAAAGCGUGGGGAGCAAACAGG